AGCUUAAUAAAUAAUCCACAUCAUCCCUUCACUACGGCCAAGGAUAUUCAUUAGUAUCACAACCACAAAUUGUCCAUGCACUACGGGUCAAGGAUAUUCGUGUAUUCAUCAAUGGUCAUGAUCAUGCCAACAACUAUCCAUCAAUGCACUACAAUCCAAUGAGGACUUUUUCCACAUCAUUUGUAACAUUACGGUCAUGAUUACGCUGAAUAAUCCCUGGUCAUAAUCAUAC
rnacentral:lncRNA from 1 species